rnacentral:rRNA from 1 species
AUUGAACGCUGGCGGCAUGCCUUACACAUGCAAGUCGAACGGUAACAGGUUAAGCUGACGAGUGGCGAACGGGUGAGUAAUGUAUCGGAACGUGCCCAGUCGUGGGGGAUAACUGCUCGAAAGAGCAGCUAAUACCGCAUACGACCUGAGGGUGAAAGCGGGGGAUCGCAAGACCUCGCGCGAUUGGAGCGGCCGAUAUCAGAUUAGGUAGUUGGUGAGGUAAAGGCUCACCAAGCCGACGAUCUGUAGCUGGUCUGAGAGGACGACCAGCCACACUGGGACUGACACACGGCCCAGACUCCUACGGGAGGCAGCAGUGGGGAAUUUUGGACAAUGGGCGCAAGCCUGAUCCAGCCAUGCCGCGUGCGGGAAGAAGGCCUUCGGGUUGUAAACCGCUUUUGUCAGGGAAGAAAAGGUUCUGGCUAAUACCUGGGACUCAUGACGGUACCUGAAGAAUAAGCACCGGCUAACUACGUG